rnacentral:rRNA from 1 species
ACGUGAAACCUUGUGGGAAGCAGGGAGGACCACCUCCCAAGGCUAAAUACUACCUGAUGACCGAUAGUGAAGCAGUACCGUGAGGGAAAGGUGAAAAGAACCCCGGGAGGGGAGUGAAAUAGAACCUGAAACCGUGUGCCUACAACCGCUCAGAGCCCCUUAUGAGGGUGAUGAGGUGCUUUUUGUAGAACGAGCCAACGAGUUACGGUAUGUAGCAAGGUUAAGUACUUAAGGUACGGAGCCGAAGGGAAACCGAGUCUGAAUAGGGCGACUAGUUGCAUGCCGUAGACCCGAAACCGGGUGACCUAUCCAUGGCCAGGUUGAAGCGAGGGUAAAACCUCGUGGAGGACCGAACCACGUUGCUGUUGAAAAAGCAUGGGAUGAGCUGUGGAUAGCGGAGAAAUUCCAAUCGAACCCGGAGAUAGCUGGUUCUCUCCGAAAUAGCUUUAGGGCUAGCGUCGAGUAUGAGUAGUGGAGGUAGAGCACUGAAUGGGCUAGGGGGCAUAGCGCUUACCGAACCUUAUCAAACUCCGAAUGCCACAUACUUUGAGCUCGGCAGUCAGACUACGAAUGAUAAGAUCCGUGGUCAAAAGGGAAACAGCCCAGAUCGUCAGCUAAGGUCCCAAAGUGUAAGUUAAGUGGGAAAGGAUGUGAGAUUUCUAAGACAACUAGGAUGUUGGCUUAGAAGCAGCCAUUCAUUAAAAGAGUGCGUAAUAGCUCACUAGUCGAGAGAUCUUGCGCCGAAAAUGUAACGGGGCUAAACUUACCACC